rnacentral:rRNA from 1 species
CCCUUAGAUGUCCUGGGCCGCACGCGUGCUACACUGACACCUGCAACGAGUUAUUCCAGCUCCGAAAGGCAGUUGGUAAUCAGAAAUAGGUGUCGUGAUGGGGAUAGACCCUUGGAAUUAUGGAUCUUGAACGAGGAAUGCCUAGUAAGCGCACGUCAUUAGCGUGCGCUGAUUAAGUCCCUGCCCUUUGUACACACCGCCCGUCGCUCCUACCGAUUUCGAGUGGUCCGGUGAGCCUUUUGGAGAGUGAGCGUCCUUGAGGCGCUUGCUCGAAGUCAGGCAAAUCUUNCNACUUACNGGAAGGAUAANUCGUANCA